CUCUCUUCUCCACCAGCCCCUGUGUGUCUUCAGCAUCAGAUGUCAUCCUGCCAGAGACAAAUGAGAGUCAGGAAGCUUGGUUUACCCCAGACAAGGACGAGAAACAGAAAGAGGGAGAUGAGGAGGAGAAGGAAGGGAUGCACUGACACAGAUCUUCUGGGAUGGAGCCUGGUAUGGAUCAGUGGGAUUUUCACCAUGCCCUCAAGUCCCUCAUACUAGGUUACUUCCACCACAACGGAGACGGCUAAACACACCCUCUGCCCACUCCCAAACCACACACACUCAUACACACCCUGAGGGUGAACCCAAUAGGUCCACUGCGUGUGAGUCGUAGCAUCUCCCCUCACGACUCCCCACCUCAGCGUAUUUCUUUAUCCUGCCUCUGGGGCUGAAAAAUGGACAAAGCUCUCUUUCCCCUUUUUUAUCUGGUCCUUAUAACCUCAUGUGUCCAAAGGAUAACCCACAAAUAUAAGCAUGUUAACUGUCACUGAGAAGAUGGUGGGCAGCUUACCUACUGCUGGCACCAUCUCUGAGUUUUUCUCUGAGUCAAAGUGAUGAUGAGGUUUAACGACAGUCUAUUGGGUCUGGCGUCAAGGUAGGCCAAGGUGUUACAGAGAGUUUGAAUGCAUCACAUCUCCAAGGACUGCAUUCAGC